rnacentral:misc_RNA from 1 species
AUGCAUCACGCAACCAUUGUUUAUUUCAGUUGCCGCACCUGUCACGUGUCACGUGACUUGUGUCCAUCUAACGAAUACUCUAAGGAACGGAUGUGUAUAGUGAUGAAAAGAUGUAUUCUUUUGGUUAUUACGGUUUUAAUUCUAAAAACAGACGCUGGUUUAACUAAUUUUGAAACAUCUUCAAGAGACUGGUUCAAUGAUCUCUUUCGAGACGACCUCAACUGGAAACUACACCGUGGUCAGGUAACAAACAGACAUGGGAGAGGAAACUACCUAUAUCUAACCACUUCAACAAGUAAUGGUAAAUCUGCCAUUCUAGAAAGUAGAAUUCUCCGAACUGCCAAACGAGGUUCUUGUGUCUCGUUUUGGUAUCGGAUAUCCGGUAAAAAUCCAGGCGAAUUGAAACUGAAGAGGAUGGAAAUGACAGGAACGAAAAUUAGGACGAGGAAGUUAUGGUUGCGGGAAGGAGACCAAGGAAGGGCGUGGAAUUUCGCAAGAGUAUCUAUUCCGCCCAACCCCCACACACGGUAUUAUCAGAUAAUAAUGGAGUCCAAACUUGGUUCUGGAAGAGGCGGAGUUGUUGCAUUGGACGAUAUAGAUCUUGAUGCCAAUCCAUGCAGUAACUCGCUGGAAAACGGAGGAUUUGUGGUAGACUUCGAAACUAAAGUUACAGCAAUGAAAAACAAAAGAUAUGGCGACCACUUUGACUGGGUUAUUACUAAAAGCAGGGCACCAAAUUCAGGCACAGGACCUGCUCGUGACGUCACAUCUGGCAUCGGCCAUUAUCUACACCUCAGUACCAAAGGCAAAACCCCCGGUCAGAGAGCAAGUUAUAGCAGCAAUCCUGUACCCGGAAGUACUAACGGCGCCUGUCUCUCAUUUUAUUACUAUAUGCACGGAGAAGGAGUCGGGAAAUUAACUGUUUCGAUUUUGCGUAGGAGCGGCUGGGUAUCCGCCGGUAAAUCGGUCUGGAGUAAGACCGGAAGCGUUGAUGGCGGUUGGCAUUUGGCGAGGAUUUCCCUCCCAAUCAGUCUUACAAUGCAGAGGUACGACGUAAUGUUCACGGGAACCGUUGGGAAGGGCGCUUCAGGGGACAUAGCGCUCGACGAUAUAACUCUGAUUAACACUGUUAGCAACAUCUCAACAGCUUACAGCAAAAAAAUGGAUCAAGAAGUCCCUCCUUCAAGGGACGGACAAGUGGGAAAGAAGUUCAGUGUGGAAGCCUGCAACAUAUUAUGGGAACUACGCAAAAGCAGACAGUUGUGCGAUGCGGUGAUACGAGUAGAAAACACCGAAUUCCCCAUUCACCGCAACAUAAUGUCGGCUUGCAGCCCGUAUUUCAGGACUCUCUUCACAAACGAGUUAUUCGACACAAACACUCGAGAGGUUGUGAUCCCAGGGGUCUCAGCCGAAAUAAUGAGCCACCUGAUCGACUAUGCAUACACACGGGACGCCGCAGUCACCGCAGAAAAUGUGGAAUUCCUUCUCCCCGCGGCGGACCAGUUUCACGUAUUAGGGCUGGUCAAGCUAUGCUGCGAUUUCCUGAUUUCCGAGCUCUCCCCGGAGAACUGCAUAGGAAUCCGUCGGUUCGCCAAGACCUACUUCUGCCACAAUCUAGAGAGGGCCGCUUUUCGUUUUCUCAUGUUAAACAUAGCCGACGUCUUAGUGUACAGUAACGAGUACCUCCAGUUAGGUAUCGGUGAACUCUGCGACAUCUUGUCGUCGGAUGAGCUGAACGUAAGAAACGAAGAGCUCGUUUUUGACGCGGUGUUGCGGUGGAUCGACUUUGAUGUCGACUACAGAAGAGACUACAUCGCUCGCCUCCUGAAAACCAUCAGACUCGGCCUCCUCACCACGCAGUACUUCGUGGAAAAGGUCAAAGUUCACCCCUACAUCAAGGAUAAUGAUUCCUGCAAGCCGAUCAUCAUUGAGACCUUGAAGUUCCUGUAUGAUCUGGAUAUGGAUGAAGACAAGGAGCUGGAUCUAAACAAUCCCCUCGCCAGGCCGCGCGUGCCGCACGAGAUUCUGUUCGUGAUCGGCGGCUGGAGCGGGGGAUCGCCUACGAAUAUCGUAGAGACUUACGAUACUCGCGCGGAUCGCUGGAUCGUGUGCGACGCUGUUGAUACAGGCCCGAGGGCGUACCAUGGAACCUCCACGAUAGACCAUAUAGUCUACAUCAUUGGAGGGUUUGAUGGAGUGGAAUACUUCAACAGCGUGCGGAGCUUUAACCCUAUGACAAAGGAAUGGAAAGAAAAAGCACCCAUGAAUGCAAAAAGGUGUUACGUAAGUACCACCGUCCUGGGUGAGUUUAUCUAUGCCAUGGGGGGAUACGACGGUCAGGUCCGACAGAACACCGCCGAGCGUUACCUCCCCUCCAAGAACCAGUGGAGUCUGAUCGCCUCCAUGCAUAACAGACGGAGCGAUGCCAGCGCCACCGCCUUAGACGGUAAAGUGUACAUCUGUGGGGGCUUUAACGGUCACGAGUGUCUGAGUACGGCCGAGGCGUACGACCCCUUCACCAACCAAUGGACGCUACUGGAGCCGAUGAGAAACCGGCGUAGCGGUAUAGGCGUCAUCGCCUACAAGGACGAGAUCUACGCCUUAGGCGGAUUCAACGGGAUAACCCGGAUGAACACUGGAGAGAAAUACUGUCCCAAGGCGAACAGAUGGAAAACCAUUCCGGAGAUGUUUAACCCCAGGAGUAACUUUGCUAUAGAGGUAAUAGACGAGAUGGUGUUUGCUAUCGGCGGCUUCAACGGAGUCACCACCAUUUUUAACGUGGAAUGUUUUGACGCCUCCACCGACGAAUGGUAUGAUGCUACGGAUAUGAAUUUGAACCGAAGUGCGUUGAGCGCAUGCGUGGUGAAGGAGUUGCCAAGUGUCCAAGAUUACAUUCACAAAGAAAGAUAA